AUGCCCUGCACCUCAAGCAAAGUGGCGCCCCGGCCCUCCUCUAAUGCCCCGCCCACUACCGGCCACAGCCUCCUCCUCCUCUUCCUCCUCCAGUCGCCACCACGUGCGCUGCCUGCCACCUGCUCCCCGCCUCGCCGGAAGACCAUGGCGGUGACUCCGCGCGGCCGGCCGGACUCCAGCCUCGGCCACCGCCGGCCGGUCCUCCUGCUCCUCCUCUUCUUCUGCCUCCUCGCCUUCUUCCCCCGCCGCGUCGCGGCUUUCCACUCAUUCGUGGGGACGUACGGGGUGAACUACGGCCGGAUCGCCGACAACCUGCCGCCGCCGACGGAGGUGGUGAAGCUGCUCCAGAUGGCGCGGAUCAAGAACGUCCGCAUCUUCGACUCGGACCACACCGUGCUGGACGCGUUCCGCAACUCCGGGCUCAACCUCGCCAUCGCCAUCCCGAACGGCCUCGUCAAGGACAUCUCCGCCACCCCGAGCAAGGCCAUGGACUGGGUGAACGAGAACGUGCGGCCCUACUACCCGUCCACGCGCAUCGUGGCCAUCAUCGUGGGCAAUGAGAUCCUGGGCGGGCAGGACACGGGGCUCGCCGAGGCGCUCUUCGGCGCCGUCGUCAACAUCCACGACGCGCUCCGCGCGAUGCGCCUGUCCGGCAGGAUCGAGGUGAACACGCCGCACUCGGAGGCGGUGUUUGGCACCUCGUACCCGCCCUCCGCCGGCACGUUCCGGCCCGACCUCAUGCCGUACCUGAAGCCGCUCCUGGACUUCUUCUCCAAGACGGGCGCGCCCUUCUACGUGAACGCGUACCCGUUCCUGGCCUACAUGAGCGACCCGGAGCACAUCGACGUGAACUACGCGCUGAUGAAGCCCAACGCCGGCAUCCUGGACCAGAAGACCAACCUCCACUACGACAACAUGUUCGAGGCCCAGAUCGACGCCACCUACGCCGCGCUGGAGGCCGCCGGGUACAGCGACAUGGAGGUGCGCGUGUCGGAGACCGGCUGGGCGUCCGCCGGCGAUGCCACGGAGCCCGGCGCCACGCUGGAGAACGCCCGGACCUACAACUUCAACCUGCGGAAGCGGCUGUUCCUGAGGAAGGGAACGCCCUACAGGCCCAAGAGGGUGGUCAAGGCCUUCAUCUUCGCGCUCUUCAACGAGGACCUCAAGACCGGCCCCGGGAGCGAGCGCCACUUCGGGCUCUUCAAGCCCGACGGCAGCGUCUCCCUCGACCUCGGCUUCAAGGGCCUCACCUCGUCGUCCUCCUCCAUCAAGGGGUGGAAGAUCGCGCGGCAGAUUAGCAAGCCUGCGUUUACUUAG
rnacentral:rRNA from 1 species